CCACGCCCGAAGUCGUUACUCCAACCGUUCGCGGAGGAGGACGCCGAAGGCAGGGCUGAUGACUGGGGUGAAGUCGUAACAAGGUAGCCGUACCGGAAGGUGUGGCUGGAUCACCUCCUUUAAGGGAGACCUAACCCGUCUGAUACCGAAACAAAUUGGAAUAGGUGCAGAUGAGGUCUAACCUAAGGUCGGUCGAGGUCAGUGAUUGUUUCUGAGCUUUCAAACUAACUAGGUGUGGGGCCGUGGGCUAUUAGCUCAGGUGGUUAGAGCGCACCCCUGAUAAGGGUGAGGUCCCUGGUUCGAGUCCAGGAUGGCCCACCUUGGAGAUGGGGGUUUAGCUCAGUUGGUAGAGCGCCUGCUUUGCAAGCAGGAUGUCAGCGGUUCGAGUCCGCUAACCUCCACUGAAGACCCACAUUUAGCAGCAUGUAUUGAGUUCAGCAACUUAUCUAGAUUUAGCUAGAGAGCCUGCUGGGUUCAUUCCAGCAAGAACCUUGAAAACUGCAUAGACAAAGUCAGGUAGAGAGUCAGGAUUGAUGAGUCAAUUCUGAUGAAUCACAGACACCAAUGUAAUUGAUUGUGGUCAAGCUACAAAGGGCUGAUGGU
rnacentral:misc_RNA from 1 species